rnacentral:rRNA from 1 species
CCUACGGGUGGCAGCAGUGGGGAAUAUUGCACAAUGGGCGCAAGCCUGAUGCAGCCAUGCCGCGUGUGUGAAGAAGGCCUUCGGGUUGUAAAGCACUUUCAGCGGGGAGGAAGGCGUUAAGGUUAAUAACCUUGUCGAUUGACGUUACCCGCAGAAGAAGCACCGGCUAACUCCGUGCCAGCAGCCGCGGUAAUACGGAGGGUGCAAGCGUUAAUCGGAAUUACUGGGCGUAAAGCGCACGCAGGCGGUCUGUCAAGUCGGAUGUGAAAUCCCCGGGCUCAACCUGGGAACUGCAUUCGAAACUGGCAGGCUAGAGUCUUGUAGAGGGGGGUAGAAUUCCAGGUGUAGCGGUGAAAUGCGUAGAGAUCUGGAGGAAUACCGGUGGCGAAGGCGGCCCCCUGGACAAAGACUGACGCUCAGGUGCGAAAGCGUGGGGAGCAAACAGGAUUAGAUACACUAGUAGUC